GUACGAUAGUAAAAUUAUCAAUUGAAACGUAAACAUUCGAGGUCAAAUGUUUAUUCAAACUGCUUUUGCAUUUAAUUUUAAUGAUUGUAACUGAUGUUUCCUUCCUGGAACAAGCUGUCUCUGGUUGAAAGCAAAUAUACCCUUUGUCGUGUUCCUUACGAUCAUUGACAGUUGCAGUUCCUUCACUGAAAGUGAUCAGACACAUGUCCCAUGGAUUAGCAGUCAUAACGUCGUGAGUAUGCACCUGCCUUUUUCAUAUCCAGCAGUUUCACUUUACAGCGAUAUGAAUACAACCGAUAGUAUUAAAUAAAAAUAAUAUUUAUUAUUAUAAUUAUAAUUAUGAUAAGAACAAAAUAACAUAAUUAUAAUUUAGAUUUAUCUUGAAUCCAUGUAGAUGAAUAAAGAGGUAAAUCAAUUAUUACAGAAACGGUACAUAUAUAUGAGUGAUAAUUUACAAUCAUUGUUACUCAUACUUCCUACCUGGAACAGGCUGGCUCUGGUUGAAAGCGAAACAAAUAUGCUUUACAGUCAUUUACAGUCGCUGUUACUUCACUGACAGAAAAUUAUGUAAAAUGUCUUAUGGCUCAGAAAAUACACUCCAUUUAUUACGUGACAUUGUUUGUCCAUCAUCAACACCCUCUUGUUAUUACUAUACGAUGACAUUCUGACUACACAAGAAGAUAUAUACGUACAUGUAUAUGGUUUGGAAGCAAAAUAUAUAUUUCUUAUUUCUCUUAGUCAUGCAAAUAUUAUUGUUAAUGUAUCGGUCCGUUGACGCUAAAGUAACUAUUAGAAUUCUAUUUAAAUAAAACUCUCUACUGUAAAUAAUAAUCUCGGUGUUCUGCACUUUUGAGUCGAACUUUUGUUUCUUCAUUCUAUAUUUAGAAUAUAUUAUGUAAUUAUAUAGGCCUCGUAUAGGAAAAUUGACAACUUUGUCUGUUUCGAUUGCUUUUAUUUUGGGUUUCCCUACGUCACACAAUCGACUGUCCAUUCCCCUGCUCGGUCCUAGAGCGCUGUGUCGAAUCCGUGAAGUUUGGUAAGGUUGUAAACAUCAAAUAUGUAAUGUCAAUGGACACUGAUAUGGGUUUUGAUUUUAAUGUUGUUGAAAACAAUAUACAGUUCGUGUGGUUUACAAACAUUCGCAUUUGCACUUACUUAAUCGAUAGUGCUCUGGCUUAUGUCUUUUGGGUAAGCAGUCAUAUCGCCGUGAAUAAGUACCUGCCAUUGCAUAUCAAAACUGCAUCCUCCAAUGUUUCGCCAAUUACCUGCCUUUCAAUUGCACUACACUUUUCGUGUUCUUCACAUUCGUUCUCAAUUGCAGUUACUUCCCUGAUAGUGAUGUGACACAUGCCCCAUGGAUAAGCAGCCAUGCCGCCAUGUCACUGCUUCCAAUCUAAAUGAUUAUACGGUUUCAGCUGACAUAAGAAUUAAGUACUGUGUGGUAUAUUGGUGUAUUCUAAAAAUAAUACAGUCCUGCGUCAUCAUUCCGUUGUAACUGAUGCUUCCUGCCUUUCACAAGCUGACUCUGGUUGAAUGCGAAAGAAAUCAAUCGUUUGUGCCUUCAAAUCAUUGACAGUAGCAGUGACCUUACUGACUUAGAUCUUUGCCAAAUGUCUUGUUGAUAGAAAGGACAUUACCGUCGGUUAUCACCUUCUUAUAUACCACAGUUCGACAACAAUCUGACCUUGCAAGAAAAUGUGUACGGUUUAUUUAUUUAUUUUAAUCAUUUAUUUCUCAUACAUAUGUCGGAUAAAUAGUAUUAUUGUUCGUUUAUUCGCCCGUUAAAUCUUAAGUAAAAUUUAGGUUUCUAGCUAAUUAUAUAACACUUUAACUUAAUAUUAUGGAAUGGGCUGUACUGUAAAGUCGAUUUGAGAAGUACCACCGUUUUCUUCAUUCUUUAUUCAGAACAAAUUAGGUAAUAACCAAACUGGCAUAUGACUCGUUCAGCGAAACCUCAUUAUAAUUGUUUUUGUAUCGUAUUGUAGUUUUUUUUUAUUGUGAACCCUACGUCUCGAAAUCUGCUGGGUGAUACUUUCUUUGGAAUCGUUUCCCUGCACUGUCAAAUAUUAUGUGAACUGUACCCUUACAUCCGGUAGCUUGGAUACGUUUUUAACAGCAAAUAUGUCAAGUUCAUAAACACUUCCAUGAUUUGUUAUUCUAUAUAUGUAGCCAGUUGAAGGCCUUAUAAUAAUCUUUAAAUUUAAUUUAAUAUAAGUGCCUGUUUUUGGAUGCAUUUUACUUCUCGUGUUCUUUACAUUCAUAAACAGUUGCUGCUUCUUCACUGGGUAUGAUCAUACACAUGUCCCAUGGGUAAGCAGUUACUUCUCUGACAGUGAUGAGACACAUGUCCCAUGGAUAAGCAGCCAUGCCGCCGUUAACUGCAACUCUAGCGACUUUACUCUCGUUUUAUUACAAUGCGUACAAAAUCUUACCAUGAAGGAAGUUAACGGAUUUCGCAGUAAAACAUAAGUUUAUUUCUAGUUUGCUCAGGUCAUAUAAUGAAUCUACAUUACAUGACAAUAAUAGAAAUAAUAAGUAUAUAAUAAUAAUUAAGACUCAUCUCAAAUCCACUAAACAAUAGAGUAAAUCAAUACAUAACACACACAAGGAAAACUCUUUGUUCUCCUUAAUUCAACGUCUCAGAAUUGGAUGGUAAAUACUUUGCUUUGUUUCUUUACCCUGCACGGCCAACUGAGCAGCUUGUAUAUGUCACGUAAUCGUUCAUCAUUCAUGGUUGACAUACAGUUACUAACAGUGUUCAUCACUCUUAAAUUGUUGGUGUGUAGCCUAUCAUUCGAUUUCUCGUCAUGCGCAUAUUGUCAUGAUGACGGGAUUUGCAUUAACUACCAUUUUAAUGUAUCGCGCAUGAGACAAGUCCGUCCCUUUCUAUUUAUGUUAAUUUCUAUGCAUAAUGUGUGAUAAAAUAUUCAACAACACCAUAUAUCAGUUUCUUGUCCAAUUUAAUGGCUAACAUACUUAAUAUUUUCAGUUAUACAAAUACAGUCUGAUAACUACAUGAUCGUAUCUUUCUCGAUCCGUACGUCUCCAAGUCUAAACGCUGUGUAAUCUCGUUUCCACACCAAACAUCUCGUUCUAUCGAACUACACAUAAACAUACAAUAAUAAAAUUUCUAUAACAUAUUUGAUUGGUCGAUUCUAUGCGCGCUUAUUGCUGGUUGGUUGAAUUACAACCUAGGACUGGAGAAGUCAUUAUUCAAGUAUGUACACGCUAAUCAGCAUUGUGAUACAAAUAAAAAAUGCAAAUACAGCUCAAGCCUUGUGUCAGCAGCAUCGAUCCCCUUUUGUUGUUAAACAUACACCAGAUCUAAAUAUUUAAUCUUUCACUUUGUGACUGUCAUGUAUACUCGCCAUUGAUAAACUUGUCAAUAUUUCUUACAUAAAGAAAACCCAAAUAUUUCACCUAAUUUCCUAUCGUUAUGUGACAUAUACAUUGUUAACAGCAAACAUGUAAUGUUAACGUACACUGUCUUGGCUUUUUUACAAUAAUUGCUGGAGCUUAAUACAUGCUCUUUUGUCACCGAAACUGAUGUUGAAUACAAUACUCUUCACGUGUUUCUUUAACAGUUGUCGUUUUUGGAUUAUUGACGCAAAGCGGCAAUAAUACACAGUAGCCAAUCUUCAGCCUAAUUUGCAUAUUACUGCAAACUUCGGAGCACUUCUGUCUACGCCGCAGAACUAACUCUCUGUUAACGCAACGCAAUUUGAUUGGGUGUUGUGAAAAUGUUAGUACAUGCGCAUUGCUAGUAUUCUCUAUAUAACGAUAAAAGCCGUUACCGAGAAAAAGUAUCCGAAUGUACAAUACUCGAUUCACACAGGCGAUAUUUUAGAUUGUAUGUUUCCCUUUAACUCUUUCCUAUUGAAGCUGGUCCGAGACUAGUAACACACUAAACAUCGCAGUGGCGAAGACAGGGUUCAGAAACUUGAAUGUUUUUCUAAAUGAACUUAGUUUCCUUUUGAAUCAGGGCCACGUUGUGAGAUUUCAUGUCAAUAAUCCACCAGUACUUUCAGUGCUUUGAUUUCACUGGCAUUGACCUGACGUGUGUUUUAUGUAUAAUCAGCCAGCUAACAUGAACAGUGUGUGCCUUGUGGUCUAGUGGUGUAUGACAGUGACUUCAAUCCUGUGUCAUCAAUACAUUGUAAGUGAUGCUUCUUAUCUGGAACAAGCUUUCUCUGGUUGAACGCGAACCACAAAAAUCGUGUAUGCCCUCCCGUCGUUGACAGUCGUUGUUACUUCAUUGACAGCGAUCGCUGACAAAUGCCUUAUGGAUAAGAAGACAUACCAUUGUGGUGUAUAACCUGAAAUAGUUUUCUCAUCAUCUGCACUGAUCACAAAGUGCCAAAAUUGAAGUUGUUUGUGUCAGUUAGUGUCCUACUAUACGACCUUUUGUAUGCCCCUAUCCGAAUCUGACAUUUCUUGAAGACCAAUUACCGACCAUAGCAAGAUUUUACCGAAUUUUAAGUUCGUAAGAAUAAUUUGAACAAUCUUUGUUUAUUUUUCCUUUAAGCAACUCGUUGUCAAAAUUACAAGCCCGAGGAGCGCAGUAUUUCUAUAUGGCUAUUCAUAAAACUUUAAUAAUCUUCUUUACAGAAACGUAUCAUCAAUAUUUUCAAGAUUGUGCUUUAAGAAAUACAAAUUGCUUGUUAUGUUAAUGUAUAGUUUGUUCGUUGUUGUUUUGUUCCUUCAUAACUAUUGUUAAAUGCUUAUAAAUCUAAUUUAUUAUUUGUGUAUCUGUAUUGUUGUGUUUUUGCCAUUUCAAAGAAAUACACUUUUCUGAUGUUAAUAUACGAAAUACAAUUUCCUCAUCAUUCUCAUGUUAGUAUAAGAAAUACACUUUUCUUAUGUUAAUAUACGAAAUACACUUUUCUCAUAUUAAUAUACGAAAUACACUGUCCUCGUGUUAAUAUACGAAAUAUACUUUUCUCAUGUUAAUGUACAUGUCUAUGUUUUUGAUUAUCUAUUUUACUUUUUCCUUAAAUGCUAAUAGCUAAAUGUAUAUUUAAUUUCGUUUAUAAUAUUUGACUUUUGUUCACCGACAUGUUUAAACAUUGUAUAUCGUACUGUCUCGAUUGUCAAUCUGUUCUUAACCCUUUCAGUGCUGGAACCGAAUUUUGAAGGACUUUGCAAACAGUUUGGAUUCAGAUGAGACGCCACAGACUGUGGCGUCUCAUCAGGAUCCAAACUGUUUGCUAUUCUGAUAGUAUUUUUUGAAAAAAAUAGAAGAAAAUGCUAAUUUUAGAAAUUCAGCAGACGACAUUUUAGCAGACGACAAAUUUCCCAGCAUGCAAAGGGUUAAAGUAGCAUAUGUCUGACGGAUCACAUUGCCCGUUACUGUAUCUGUUGCAAUAGCUUUGAAUGUUUCUCAUCAUCUGUAUUAUAUGUGAACAUUGAUUAGUAUACAAAUGUGUUAUUAGUUUGUAACAAUUAAAAAAUGGAAUAAAUAUAUGUCGUAGAAGUAAAA